GUGUCGGUUAUAUGCUUGUGUGUGUGUUUGUGGGUUAUAUGCGCGACCUGCCAUAGUUUCAUACAAUGUGUUUAUCCUGUCAACACAGUUUAAUAUAUUAGUGGGAAGCCCUUUGUUUAUCAUGUCAGUUUCCCCGAUCCACUCUCUCCUCACAUACACUGAAAAAGCCGUCCAUAAAUCAAAUUUAUCACAGUAUUCAAAUGAAUGAAAAAGCGUUCUUAAAUUUGUACUCAAAUUGAAUUUAAAAUUUUCAGCUUGCCAUUGUGUCCAACGUUGUGCAGUAUUACAGACAAUACUUAAAAAUUAAUGUGUGUUGCAUCUUUGCUUUGCGAUUUUGUCAUAUUUGUUUGUGGUGUUUUAAAUAUUUGAGGCAAUCCACUGAAUUCACCCCACUGAUUCUAAAUAUUUUCUUUCAUAGGUCCACCAUCCUAUUUGCACAGCAUACACACUCAAAGCCUAUAUAGUGGGUUAGGUGCAGGGGAUGUGGAGUUGUAAGGGGUGCACAGAAACUGUGUCAAGGCAUGGAUGAAGAUGCAAUCAACAAGGCCAUUGAAGACACCACUGUUGGGAUUUAUGUUAUUAAAGAACAUGCUUCAAAUGAUGAACCAUAGGACAUUGGAAUUGUCCUUGAAGGCAUCAAGGUGUUGCAAAAUCUGGAUAAUGUAGCAUUAGCUGUUGUUCGGACUGAUGUAUGCCCUGAACCUCAGCUACCCUGCUGACCUCCGCUACACCUUUUAAGUAGUCCAAAAGAUUUUCAUGGAACUGGAUGGGGGUAAACUUUCUAACAAAGUACUUGCUCUAAAAAACAGGCUCUUUCAGUGAAACGGUCAGAGAGACUGCACUGCCAGAGAUAAAUACAAGACAUUUGAAUUCCUCAAAAGGCAUCUUUGGUAUUGCUAUACCAUUUGAACUGCUUUUUCAUUUUCUUUUGUUAAUCCACUGUUGUAAGUUGACAGUAUUUUUUCUUAUGAAUCCAUUAUGAAAAUAGUUUAAAGAGGGUUUGUAACUAUUUUUGUUCUGAUUCAACUUUAAAAACAGCUGCAGUAUUUUGUAUUUCCUGGUUUGAAUCCUCUUUGACAACAGCUUAUACAAGGUUUACAUAUCUAUUUGUGUUUAUUCCUCAGGGAAAACAAAAGCAAACUUUCUAACAAAGCACUAGCUCUAAUUUGCCAUAUUCACUUUGUGCCAUGUUUGGUUUAUUUAAGUGAAAGAGUGCUAUUCUUGUUUUGUAUUUGCUCUUGGGAAUGCACUGUUUGUGGACAGUUCCCAUUAUUUUGUAUUUGCACUUUUAAAUCUACUGUGACAACAUAUUAUUCAGGGUUUAUAAAUGUCUUUGCUGUUCUUAAUCCAUUCUGCAGAUAUGUUUGAAGCAUGUAUAUGCUCCUAUUGAUACACUGUGAAAACAGUUAAUGCAAGGUUACAUUAUUUAUAUUGUGAAUCCAUUCCACUUUAUACAGAAUUUACAUGAUUUUUGUUGUGAAUCCACUGUGUAAACAUUGCAUUAUUAUGUAUUUGUGUUUGAAUCCACUGCUGUUGAUGCAUGGUUUACAGAGUCCAAUUUUUGUAUUUUGUGCAAUUAUGAUUCCUUUGUAAAACCCGUUUACGGCAACUGCACUGAAUCCUGGGUAAAGUCAUGCAUGUUCUGCAAAGUUUUAAGGCUUAAUAUAGCAACAUUUUAGUACAUAACUUUGCCUUUUUUGUCAUUGUA